rnacentral:lncRNA from 1 species
AGAAACGUGAUCCUUGAUGUUAUACACAUACUUAGACGACGCUGUAUCCGCUACGCAGUCAGCGUAUGCCAGCGCUACUAAUAAAUAUUAACAGAAUUUUCUAUCGCGCUCAUUGUAUAGUUCCUUCCAAUCCAUGCGAACGCCGUGCACAAUUCAGAACCUUACAAAUUCAUGCAAUUAAAAGAAUGCAGUUAGUAACACGCAUGCAUAAAGUUCUCACCAAUUUCUUUCGACAAGCCUCCACUGAUGUAACUCGAGGUUUCGGUGUAUCUAUUGACUUUUUUCUUUUUAGCUUUUCUUUAAGACUUCACCAUCGUAAGCGGCCGAUAUUUAUAUUAACUACUCACACAGAUCGGUCUCUACGCACCUUUAUCUCGGUGCUAUUUUCUAGAUUCUGUGAACUUCAUGUUUAGUGAGGAUUUGUGUAACGUUUCAUGGCAUGGAACCUAUGUCCACCCACACGUCAGAGAUCCAUUUACAACGUGGCAUUUAAUAUGAGGAGUUGAGCCUUAAUGAGGCAAGCCGAGUAAUACAGCAGGAGAGGGUUUAACCCUUGGCAAAUUCGCUGAGUAUACUAAGCUGGCGAUCCCAUCUUGAAUACUAUAUGGCGGUCAACGGUGGCUCAUCUAUUCAAAGAAUACAAAGCGUGGCAAAUUGUCUUUAGCGAACGGUGGCCUGGGCCUCAAGUCGUCGCCUAAAGGACCACUUAUUUCAUCACCAUAUUUGGCUGUUAAUCCACUUCUACCGCGCAGUCCUUCUGGCCGAGGAGGUGGCACCCUCGGAUGCUGUUCGUUAGGAGGGCACCCCGGACGUUGCCCCGUUACUUAAAUACAACAGAGAGAAGGAUCGCUCCCAACACGAACUGUUAUGCUAAGAUCGACAAGCGUGGUUCCGCUCAAAACUCUUCGCCUGGAUCAUUAUCGUUAAUGACCAUACAUUGUCAACGAUUAGCAUAUGCUAAAUAUACUCGAACUCGAACAGAUCACAUUAGUGUAUGCAUAAUAAACACUGCGGUUUUCUGCGCGAAAGACGACUAAAAAUCAACUACUCGAUAAGUGGAAGAUGACCAACGAUCGUACACACAAAUGUCGACGAUCUCAUUUAUAGAUGGUUUUUUUAACAAGCUGAUCUGUAAACAUCUUUGAAAGCCUUACACUUAUCUGGCUUCGUUUAGCUAGAUAAUAAUUGAUUGUUUUACAGCUACUACCUGUCGUCCGGGUUUGUCCAGCUGAGAACAACUGUGAAACCACGAAUCUGCUGCUUGUCGACUGCCGCAGUCGCGAUGAGAGCCCUUAAACUCUAUCGAAGUGUACAAUUUCAGUUGCCUUCAGUGCCUUCAAUUGUUUCGUCGACUUUUCUGUUGGCUGUGCUCCACAAACUGUCAAGUACUGAAUAUCUACUACAGACAAAUCUAUCUACAGGAAGUUGAGUUGCCUUUGUGCCGGUUCUGUGCUGAUACGUUAGCCGUUACACGAAAUCCUUCAGAUUUCGUCUAACGUAAGUGUCAUGCUGCGCUAAAUGAGACUAUAGAAAGGUAUGAACAGACCUAGAGCCCGAUGUCUUGAUGACGCUUCGAGUAGGAACACAUAGACACGUAAGUAUAGAAUGAACCUACCUCGAGAGAAACGCUCCGAAGGUAGGGAUUUUGUAGGCUAGGCUUUUAGCCACAAACGAUUCAAAGGCUAGUGCGCUUUUCUUUGCCGUCCAUUGUCGGCUAAAAAUCGAUGGUUGUCUUCGGUGGGAACGUUUCGCACUGUAAACAGUUCUAUAGAACAUCGAGCAGCGGCCGAUUCCCACGGCCGGCAAUGAACACUUCGCUUGAAUAGUCGCAUCAUCGUUUAUUGAAUUAUGUCGUAUCGCCUCGACUUUAUCCGAAGCCCGCUAAAAUAGGGCGAGUCGGAAAUCGAGCGAAUGGUAAGCGUACAUCGGGCUCAGCUAGAAGAGAGAACAGCAAUAGACAACAACCGUGCUGGGUUUAUUCAACACGGCGCAGGCUAUACACCUGACGAAAAAAAUAAGCUCCAUGACUUACGCGAAAUGUUCCGUUGAAACUACCGCCAAAGCUAUUGUAGUAGUAAUAUGAUAACAAAUCGAAGAAAGACCGAAUCAUUUUUCACAAUGGAUAAUAUCAUGUGACGCACGUUUCGCUUCCGGAACACUGCUCCGGGGGAUAUCUGCGAUGCCUGAUACGCCAGCGAAAGUUGUUGACCUAUGGCUUCGGUCAAGAGAUAGUGAGUCAUAAAUGACUAUGUUAUAAUAUCUAUAAUUUAUUGUCAACAGCACCCAGCACAGCGCCGGCUUCGUAAAGAAUCAAACACUUAUAGAGCCCAUCCUAAACACUACGGACCCUUUUCCAUCGAGAGUCGAGACAUCACCUGAGGACAAGAUCUGCUCCGUUGCUCCUGUCGUUGUGAAAUUGUAUUAUAGUUCUUAAAGGAUGAUGAUGGUGAUGGUAACAACACUGAUCAAUUGUGACGAACCAGUUGUAAGAGUGACCUUAGAUAAUUAAAAAAAGAAAAUGGGAGGAAAAGUAAGCAACUCGGUGCGAUCGUAUUCACUUAAGCGUAUGGAGAGCCAAAGACGGAUUGUUCGGUUAAUUAGUACAAGUUAAUUAAUUAUGGAUGAAGGGCGGCAACAGAUUGCGCUGUUGUUGCUAUGUAAGGAGUUGCAUACCGUUAGCAAUAUAGGAGGCCUCAAGGUUUGUUUUUUUGUAUAUCUCUUGUUUUAUGAAACAUAUCUUGUUCUUAUUCGUUUUUGAUACAACUUUGUCAGCUGUAAAGAAUGCAUCAUAUAGAGGCGCGCGGGUCGAAUGGUCACAUUCAAGGGACCUUUUCCCGCUAUCCUGGCCCAACAUUGCCGCUUGAACAAAGCUGCCUCUGGCAGCAAUACAGGCAUAUAUACAUUAAACUAAUAUCUGAUUGCGGCUAAACUCUAUGUAUGCCAUGUGCGAUAGUAUGGGGCAAAUCUACAGGCGACACAUUACAUAAGCGACGCAUUACAGAAAACAAUGCUGAAUGGAAAUCUAAUGAUGGAAACUAAUAUGACAUAUACAUUACCUAAACCACUGAUACACUGCUAACAAGAAAGACCCAGCACGGCAAGACAAAACUUUCAAAUCGGAUGAACACACUUUAACACUUGGCCGAGGGCUAUCUGCUCAGAGACGCGUACGGCGUCCGUAGAUGCUGAGAUAACAAUUUGUCCCUCGGAUCCUAAUAUUAUUAGAGGAAUGGAAUUUAAGCUAAGCAACAGUUGACAGUCUGAUCUCUAAUAGAUCCUCGUGUGGCAAUCAGCGCGCACCGAUGCGUAAGUUGUUAUAGUUAGAUUAGCAUUACAAGUGAUUUUCUCUAACAAUCGCGUGCCAACCAACCAUGACACAGACCAGAGUUGGCAGAACGAACAACAAAAUCGAAGAUAUCUUCAUGGCCAUUUGGUAGAAAAACAACUCGAGCAUCGACUUGUAAGCGAAAACGUUACUGAAAGAAGAGAAAACUAACGUAGACGCUACAAGAACAGCUAUGACUCAUCUUAGACUACCAUAAAAAAUAUGGAAAAAAAAAAACAGGAUAGGCUACCUCAUUACAAAACGUGCAGCAGCAACAGCAACGUAAGCACCAGUCAGAUAGUCCGAUCGAUGCCAGGCGUACGACCGAAUUUGCUAUUUUCCGCCAGCAAAAGUGCUGAGAAUUGUAUGCCACUAAAUAGAGAUAAUAAAACCGUAGAGAAACGGUAGUAUGUGCGUGAGUUUAUUCUACUUUUUCUUUUUCCGAUAGUCACUAACGAUUUAUACAAUGACGGCAGGCAGGCAAGGGAGCUGGACGAACGGUGCAAGCUUGUCGGUGCAAAGUCGUAACGUUACUCGUCGCUUUGCCAUAUGACGCACGAAUGCAAUAACACUCCAGACAAACAGAGAACACCGUAGACAUGUGCGACUGAAACAAAGGAUGAGCUCGAAGCACAAUGACACAGGUCUACGUUACGAUACGAUCGACGAGGUUGUCCGUCCGAAUUUGGGGUAUACUGCUUUAACUCGUUUUGUCAUUUCCACUAGGCCGCUCCCAAGCGCGCCAUGACCACCAUUACUCCUCGUAUCACUAAUAAUUACUACGACUCUCAUUAGCUACAGCUGCUAAUGACGUUAACGUAAAUGGUAGGUCCAGAAUGAGGACCGCGUUCCUCGAGCAGAUAAUCAUCCGUAUACCAAACCGGUUACCAAUUAAAUGUCAAAUCAAGAAAAUGAUUAAACUAACUAUGAAUAAACGGCUACGCAAACGGAUUUAUCUGGUACUCAUACGUCGUUCGGUGAGGGUGCGUCGCCAUGUGUUAAACACAGGCAGCCAAUCGAAAAAUCGCUUUCAUUACGGCUGCUUCUUCGGUGUUUUAGAAUACUAACUACUACUAUCGGUUGCUGCCCGCUAGGUAAAAGCAGUCAUUUGAUAGACGAUGAUGCGAGUGAAUUGGUUUGAUCCAUUCUACCGGAAGUGAUAAUGGCCUGUCUUUGCCAAUUGUGUCAACUCAGUCAUUCAGUCCUUUCAUCUCCUAUGAUUUCUUCUUCUGACCUGUAGCUAUGACUUCUAUAUGCUACGAAUUAGAGCUAUCUAUGAAUAACACGACAGUGGACUUCCUCUGCCAGUCCCAGUCCGCAACAGAUGGCAUAAGUGGCUGCUGUCGCCAUUUGUAUCAUAUCUGUACAACGCUACAAAGCAAAAAUGAUCUACAUAAAUGUCCGUUCAAUUCCUAAUCUUCUUCGCCCAACAUGAAAUACUAUUUUAUUUAAUGAAAAUAGUAAUCAUCAUCAUAUUAUAGCGGUUACCGCGAUAGUGAUGAUGGCGGUAGUGGUCCUUACCUGUCGCUUCCAACUUUACAAGGUUUUCUAGCCUCUCUUCUAUUCUGACACGAUAAAACAUCGUAACGUUACAAUAGCAUCCAUACUGCUGUUAACAGCAGCAUAUAUAUACACAUAUGUGCACUCUGCAAAGAUACACGUGACGAUAGUAAACCUAGCUGAUAACUUUAGCCUUUUUCUAUUUUCCUCGAUUCAUUAUUAGUGCAGUACAACGAGGUAAAUGGUUAUUACUAUUGCGAUCCAUUUAAGCGUAAAUUUUCCACCUACCAAGUGAAACCUAUCAAGCGCUUCUUACUAGAAAAAAACCACGGCAUAUGGCACAAUGCAACUUACGCUUACUUCCAUGACGCUGACCAUGAUGAAACAGUGAAGUACUACUAUUAAGGCCUAUAUCUCAAUGUGUGCAAAUGCUGCCAGCGGCUAGUAAAGCGGCUUACAGAUACCAUUAGCAACACAACACCAAGCAAGAUGAAUAUCGUUCUAGCUUCAAAAUGAAGCUUCGAGGAAAUCUAAUCAUCGACACACGAUGAACCUCUGAAUGGCCCCUUUUAACGCUUUUCUGUGGUGAGGAAUUUCAAAUACGGACCAAGAUAGUAUCCCUUAUCAUCUCUAUCUAACGGCAAUUUUGUAUAACUCGAUAAGCAGCUGAUGUGGAAAAACAAUGAACAAUCGGCGAUAGAGGCCGCAUUCUCUAAGCCAGCCUCUCUCCAAUGCCCGUCACAUUGCCCCGCGGUUUUUAUUAACUCGUUGCGUCGGAUCUGUUAAAGACGGUAAUAAUUAGCCAAUACUGUUGCUACAAUUGUACUCAGCGAUUGCACAUAUACUAAUGAUACCAUAAAUGUAUAUUAUUUUCUAUCACGGAUAGUGUAUUCGUAAUUAUGUGUCAGAGAGCGUUGACGGCUUAAUCCUACACUGUCACUUUCAUCGUCGUCGUUAUUGAACAAUAAAAGCAUACUGUUGCUUAGUGUGACAACAACAAGAGUGAAAAUUGAUAAACGAACACACAAGUAAGUUAAUGGAGCGGCCCGCAGAGGCGAACCUCCUUAAACUUAACUUAAGCAAGCAUCCUUCGAUUCGCAUUGGCUAGCAUGGACAACGUCGUUCUUGCUAGGCGCGGCUUCAUACGCUGAUCAAUGUGUUAAGCCUUGCUCUGUUUAGGAGAUGUUAGCAACGCAACAUGGCGAAUACGUGAUAAACAUACAUACUAAAAGCGACAUUAUGAAGCUAGCUGCACACCCGCGACAAUGGCACGCUAAUUAUAGAUAUAUUUGUAAACAAAAACGUGUGUUCGAGAGACAGUGCUGAGCAUGCGAAGGCAACAUGAAACAUCAACAUGAAUAGCAACGUCGCAAGAAUAUGCGCAAUGGAAUGGGCCAUGUUGGUAAACCAAUCUUCUAUAAUUACGCAAAUGCUAUCAUCACCACAGUACCGUAACAUUGCCGCAGCUGAACCAUGAAACGCUUCGACAUGUUCGACGUCCGGAACCGCUGAAUCGUUUUGCCUAACGGCCAUGACACCCCGACUGCACACACACUGUGUCGUCUACUCCCGCUAUCGAAACUACAUGCAUACGUUUCUGUACACUUUUCGUGUGUCGUUAAAGGUUCUACUGCUGAUACUACAACUUAUAAUACCAGUACGACGCCGAUGGUGAUGAGAAAGGCAGGACUUUUACAUUUAACUGUGCCUGUUGUAUAUUGUAAAUACGUUUUCCUUGUUUUGCGAAACAACUAGUCUAGGUAGGACUAAUAAUGACACCCGCCAGGAUACUGACUAACCUUUAUCUUAAGCCACGUUCUUAGAAUGUUACCUCUUCCUACCACGCAAAUUAACCAACAGCAAACGACGGCAUCGGUUAGCGUCCGCUAUGACGAAACGUCUGUCGCGUUAGUGAAACAAGGUGGGGAGAGCAUUUUUUUCGGAGAACGAACGUCAAUAAUAAUAAUAAUAAUAGUAAUACACGAAUCCGGAGUCGCCGCCGGAGUUUGCCACAACGGGAGUCACUCGGAGCGAGUGCGUACUAAAUAUUAUGCGGGAACAGCGUGCUGAUCGACGUUGGUUUGCCGCUUGCGUCCGUGCAAAGUCCUCUGAAUCCGCCCGGGCUUUCCAGCUCCUCAGCUCUCUUUCUUCCGGAAACGCGUACGGCGUCUGUCAGUCGGUAGUGAACUUUUCAACUCUUUAUUUGGCCAUUGACAUUGACUAGAUAUGAUGACGAUAAUAAUAAUAAUAAUAACUAAGAUAAAAUUACGCCGUGGCCUCACAUAACAAUUGCGCUAAGUCUGCCAAAACCAAGCAUAUUAAAUAGGAUCGGUCACAAAGCAUAGAUGCGUGAUGAUAGGCCUUUUUUGACAGACUGAUAAUGGCUGCGUUGCGCAAAAGACGGAACAUAAUAGGGCAAUACAGAUGAGACAGAAUGACAAGGCCCUUCAGCAUAUAGACACACACACACACACACACACACACACACACUAAAUAUGUUUAAGUAUUUAUAAUAGGACGGAGGACUUCUCGAGUCCUGGGGCAGCACUUGACGAGCCCCUACCGGCUGUUAUGCGUGCCGUGAUUCUGUCGCAUAUCCAUGGGGCAGGGGUGGCGAGUGUUGUCGAGCAAACGAACACGCUGAUCAGUUAUAAUAAAGUUUUGUUGAUUCGCUGCUGCCGGCCUCGGCCACACGACAAUUAAUUACACUUUUGAAAACAUUUACUCGGGAAGCCUUUCUUUGUCGCCCCUUCUCCCUUUUGCUACCGCUUUCGUCCCGCCACGACGAUGGUAACACUCACCAUUAUCCGGAUGAUGAUGAUAGCUAACGUUCUUAUGGCUAUUACGAUAGUUACCGCCCUCAGUGCUGAUACCAAUGGUACCUGCAUUUUGGCUGACUUCAAGAUAUGGGAAUCUCCCGUCGCCGUAACUAUGCGGCACGCCAUAUGAUUUACGAACGUUCACUAAUGCCUGCGGCCUCUUCUCGGUCUGAAAGUACUAUCGGGUGGCGUACAUACAUGGCCUUCUUCUUUUUUAAGGCAGAGUUUGGCCGAGGCCAAGUUCAUUCCCUAACUGUAGAAGAAAAGUAGACAAUACGAUGAUGGUGAAAAUGACAAUAGUGAUGAUACGAUGAUGUAUAAGUCAACAGCGUAGGGACAUUAAACGUCAUCUGAGGCAAUGUUCGACGUAUAGAUGAUGAAAGUGAAACAACAAUAGGAAGACACUGGCAAUAGUAAUAGCGAUGUGAAGUUAUUUAUUGGUGUGUAUCUAAGUGACGGAGGACACAAACCGCAGACGUAUGCAACCUAAAAUGGUAUUAACAAAAAAGUGCUAAAACUAUGGACAACAGUAAAAGAUAUCUAAUGCGAAUUCUAUCAACCGCGAAAAAAAAAAAAAAAAAAAACCCGGUAAC